GUGUGUGUGUGUGUGUGUGUGUGUGCAAGGGAGGGAGGGGGGAGCAUCGCGAAGAGAGGGGUCUCGGGUCUUAGCCCCGCUUCCUUUCUUUCCUGCCCCAGUUACAGGUAGUUGGUCGUGGUGGUUUAUCCAGAUAUCCAGUGCCCCCGUCCAUUCAGAGGAAGCAGAAAACACUUGUUCCUUGGCUGUAGCCUCUUCUCUCUUAUCGGCGCCUUUUAGAUAUUGCAAGGCGGGGAGAGUGAGGCUUGCUCUUUCUUCCCACGUACCAGCAAAAUCGCUUUGGCGUUUAAUGAUGGAUAGAUAACCUCUCAUUUAAAACAAAACAAAACAACAACAAAAAAAACAAAUCCAGAGUGCCUGGGCUGCUCAGUCGGUUGAGCACCAGACUCUUGAUCUCAGUUCAGGUCAUGAUCUCAGGGUCGUGAGUUCAAGGCCACACUGGGCUCCACGGUGGGCAGCAAGCCAGAAAUGGAACAAAACAACCUUCUCAAAAAUACAAUACACCUCGAUUUUCCUAUUUGCCUGUUACGGAAACUUUCUGAGUUGAGUUUCCUUCUCCCAGUGUUUUUCCCACCCUCUUAGUUUGACAAAGGAAAAUGGUCAUGGGAUGGGUUUUGGCCAGCGAUUUUUUUUUUUUAAAUCCUAGGCGAUGCAUGGUUUUAUUUAAGGCUAAAUUUCAUCGUACAGAGUUGAUCAUUCUUGUAUUUUUUUCCUUGUACCAAAAUCCGCGAUUUACAUCGUCCCAAUUUGCCAGCUCUUUGCCCAUCAUUUUAAGAGGUCUGUGGAUUCUGUUGAAUGAAGAGUAUAAGCAUCUUGACUGUGUUUUACACGAUCUGGAUGGUUCUUUGGGUGGGGUCGCUGAGCCCAGGGGAGUAGUCCGUCCGUGGUGGUGGUGGUGGUGGUGGUGGUUCUGGGACGUGACAGGUACUAAAUACCUGGAAGCUCCCCCGAAGCGGAGCAGGGAUUAGCACACAGAAGCCAGCAUGAUGUCUUUCAUGGGGCGCACUAGAGCUUCGGGAGCCUCUCACCCGUGCUGCUCCUGUCGGCAUGCCUUGUAACCACGCAUUUUGCAGGGGAUCCGUUGGUGCAUGUGAAACAGAGACUUCCGGACAACAUGGACUAACAUCGCGGCAUGUUGAUGAGGACCCGCAACUUGAGUCAGGAGAAGGAGGAGCUUUUGUGUCUCCUUUUUCCCCUUUCUCCUGCAUGCAAUUUUAAUUCCUGCUGUUUCCAGCCUCGUUUGUGUGUUGUCACCUGACCCCAGGCUCUGGGCCUGGGAUGGCCCGUGACCUCUCUGGAGAGCAUCAGAGAAUGGAUGAAAGAAGAGAAGGCCCCGGUGGCUCUCGCCUCCACCCUUCCUUCCUCCCCUUUCCCAAACUAAAGGUAAAGAGAAAAUUCUGUAGCCCUGCUGCGUGUCUAGGCUCUGCAAACGCAGCACAUCAUCCAGGUAACAAGAGAAUGCCGCUUGGUAUUCUGGCUUGGGUGAUGGUGAUGCCUCUUUUUUAAAAAAACCAAAUCGCCCUAUUAUGUAGAUUAUUGAGAUUUUCUCUCCUAGGAAGCAUGCUUGGCUAGAAUCUGGCUUUUAAUGCUAUGGAUGUUUAUGCACAUGGACGCCACAGCUUUGGUGCAAACGGCACCUGGCAGCAUGAAGCCGUCUAACGUCCACGUCUUAGCAGAACAGUUGAGAACAUCAUUUUAGAAAAAAUUAAAAAAUAAAAAAAAGACAUCAUUUUAGCAUCAGCAAAGGGGACGAAUUAUUAACACAAGAACAAACGGGCAAGCACUGGGUGUUAUUCUGCAUGUUGGCAAAUUGAACACCAAUAAAAAAUAAAUUUAUUAUAAAAAAAAAAAGAAGAAAGAAACAAACGGGUGUUGGCUCUGUAGACCUAGGUAAAGGGGAUACGGGUCUGUUUGGUUUUCAAGUCGACGUUCCCCGAACCUUAGCCGGUGCCAUCAGGAGGCAGAGACGGACCAGGAAGGUCGAGCCCUUCUGUCCUGGACCCGACCUACGUGUCCUCUCCAGCAGUCGCGAGAGUUUGUGGCUGAGAGAUUUAGCAUGUGAGCCGCGUGCCAGCCGGCUCCAAAGUAAUCCUAGAAUUUGGAUCGUGCAGGGCUCGUUCCUGACAUUUUACUGCUGCAGUAAAAGACAUUCCGGGCGGGCUCGGGGAUUCCAUCAGGAGACCGAAUUCAUUAUCGUAACUUGAAUAGUGUGGGAAUCGGGCUUCGUUACCACAACCCGAAAUCUCAUUACCAUUCCUAAUGGUCUUCCAGCCAAGCCCCGGCUUCCCUUCCUCAAAGCAGAGAGCGCCCUCGGGUGCAAAAACCCUGUCCCGUGACAGGCUCAGAAGGGUAGCUCAGGCGAAAGGCGGUUCCCUAUUUUUUUUUUAUUUAUUUUUUUUUUUUUGAGAAAGGGAAAGGUGCUGCUAUCCUGUCCUUGACCCCUGGAAUUCCUCGCUUGACGCUCUGUCUGUCUGUCUGCCCCCCUCCCUCGAACCCGCUUUUGUCCCAAUGAUGUGGGGGCCUGGAUAAAACCGACGGACGCCAGGGCUGCUCGCACUCGGGACAGCCGCCUGCAGAAGGGGUGCAAGGACGGACCCGGUCUUCACCCAGCGGACACUCGGGGCCGGCCCGCCACCCGCAUCACGGAAGCCGACUCAGACACGUGGAGAGGCUCAGGGUGUGUGGCCUUUGCCCCUGGUUCUCCCCAGGCCGUGGCAUCUUUGCACGUCAGCGGAAUCAAACGCCGACCCUGUACCUCUGUGUACUCGCAAGGCCAGAGGAAAACACACCUGUCAAGACACGGGGUCAAGACCCGGGGUAUAUCAGGCAUGAGCUGAGUUAGGAGCCGCUGGAUGGAAAGCGUCCUCCUUCCCUGAACCGACUGCCCGAGGGGCACUUGGCGGCUUGUUUAACCGGAGGAACUUACACUUGGAUCAUGUGGCUGCCCCGCCGCCUCCACGGCAUCGUGUCCAAAGGCCGUGGCCACCCAAGGCCCUGCUCACCCGGCAAGACACGGACCGUUUCCUCGUUGGCUCGGUGGAUGGAAAAGCAGUUCUGCGGGAGCCGUAGACACAGGUCUCAUAGCUCGAAUUCAAGGAAAUAAAAAUAAAUAAAAGCUCCCGCUAAUCUGCACUCGCCUGCGCCCCUGAGCCUCCACCAGGAACCGAGGCAGAAACCGGCCGCGGCGGUGAUCCCGGCGACCACGUGCAGCCCGCGACACAGGUCCCUGCGCUUCAGGCUCGCAACAGAGCUCGCACUGCACCCGUGGAGGCGGCCCGGCUCCGGGCGCCCAGUCCCACCUCCGCGUCCUGCUGCUGGUUGCGAUCUGCGGCGGCUCCGCGUCAGCGGCACGAGGGUUGUGGCAGGCGUCGCCCGAGUCGCCGUUCGGGAUCGCCUGCAAUCUCGUAGAGCGACCCUUUCUCCCUCAGCUCCAUCAAGCGCGAUUUUAUGGGUCUGAGACAUUGAAGGAACUCGAUGGAAGGUUCUGAGGAUCCCCUCGUGUUUCCUCUAAGGACAUGCUGAUAAAAGUCAGGCUCACCUACCUCCUCCCUGUCUCCGCUCCCACGGAGGGAGGAAAAAAGUCGUGACCGACAUCAGGAGCUCACACGUGGACGUUGACAUGGACAAGGCGAGAGUGAAGGUCUCCCCCACACACACUUAAAAAAGUAUAAUAAGUCACUAAUGGAAAAAGGGGCCUCGCUGGGGGUUCCUGAGAACCCAGAGUCCCCUGGGCUGAGCCGCCACCGAGCGGGUGGGGGCCUGGGUCAUCCUGGGCCACCAGCUGGUGUUUCAGAGGCUGACAGGGACCCGGUGGGUGCCGAGGAGCAGAGGCGGCGGCCACUGGGAGCACUCACCUGCGCUGCUGCGGCUGUCGGGCCCUGGGACGCAGCUCGAGCAGUGUGUGCACCCCGGGGCCCUGAUGGCAGUCCCCGUGGCCAGGGUGGCGCUCCCCGGGCCAAGCGGCCGGCCUUUGCAUGCAGCCAAGGCCCAUUCUCGGCGCCGUGAAGCCCAGAGGGGGCCCGUCCCCGCGAAGCGCCCGCUGCAUGCCGGCAUCCCCAUCCAGGUGGUGGCUGGGACGGUGCGACCAAUAACAGCUGGGGCGCGUGGCGGCCUUGACCGGCAGACCCGUGAGCUGCCCUAGUCUAUGUCUCCUGGCCUCCAAGCACAAGGUUAGGGGACAGAAGAGCACUCAGAGGGGACGGCGGCGCCGCCUGGAGGGGCAGUGACCCGAGCAGCCAAGGGGACCGGCACGGCUCACGACACACGACAGGCCACCCGCGCGGGGCAACCCGACGUCUGGCACGCAUGUCGCAUCCAAGGCGAACCAGUUCCCUCCAGUUCCAUUUGCAAGACACCGGGCUGCGCAGGAACCUGCCAAGGCCCCGAUGACAGAUAAGACGUCAGCAGCUUCUCCAGAGCCUUCGCCCCCGGGGGUCCUCGGGCACCUUGCGAACGACCAUGGCGCCUCCAUGUCGCUGCCUGCAGUUCUUGCCGAUGUGGAAUGAUAAGAACCGGCCCCGCCUGCCCAGAAUCUUUAUUUCUUCCUUUCUUGGCGUAUAAGCAGGACGCUCUCGGCUCCGGGAGGACGUGGACCACUUGCCCGUCGACGCCUUCACUUCGUUUGAACGUCCGCGAACAGCUGGCAGCGCUGUCCGGAGGCCCGCUUGGGUCGGGCCGUGGCUCGAUGUGCAGGGAGGAGUAGGGACAGGAUCAAGGGCUCGUGGCUGAAGUCCUAGAUGCCGAAGCCCCUCCGCUGUUUAGUAGGGGAGCAGCGUCUUUGUUGGGAGGGUUGCCCGACACAUCUGAGCAGAAUGAAGGGGUUUUUGCAUAAUUAUGGGGUGUUUUGCAUAAUUACGGGGUGUUUUGCAUAAUUACAGGAUCCACUGUGAAACAGGAAGUGAUAGAGUUCCGCUUGUCCGAGGACCUGAAAGGACCGGGACAGAGGGUGGGAUGGGAGCAGCGAAGACCUUAAGUGACACCCAAGGUUUAGAAUCCACGUCCAGCCCUGUCUCUCGGCUCUGGCUCUGAGGUGGCCAUUGCCUGAGCCACACGGGCCCCCAGCGGGGCCUCUGGAGCCGGCGUCCUCGGUGCCCAGCUUCACCCUCCAGAGCCCCGUAGGGCUUGCCCGGGGCCCGUGCCUCACACGGGCGAGCGGGUCUCCGCGGGUCCCGGCUGGUCUGGGCCGCUCAGGGACCGAGGGGCCACUGCACGCAGCUCCCAGGUGCCCAGACCCAGCAGGGCCCUGUGUCCCCGACCCCAUAAAGCAAGUCAGCGCGGAGCGGAGGGAGGUGGCCGCCCGGGACCUACUCAGCACUCGCUGCGCUUGCCCCUGCUCAGGCCCCACACGGCCUUUGAGAGGCCGGGUCUUCGCCUGCACUCGGCGGGGAGGAAGUGGGGGCUGGUACCCCCCAGCUCGUGAUGACCGCCUCCCACAGAAGACCCAGCGGGGGGGGGGGCGGAUGAGCACCCACCCCCCUGAGCAGGGGACCUAGGGGACCUGGAGGCUGCAGGGGCUGAUGCAUUCCCCGCCUCCGGCUUGGACAGGGUCCUCUUUACCCCAUGGGGAUGGAUGGCUCCUGGGGCACCGAGCAGGACACCCGAGAGAAAGCCAUCCGGAGCCCCAGCUCUAAUCACCGCUCCCUAACCGCAAGGCCGUUCCGCUCACAGCGAUGCCCUCUCGAAGCUCAUGAGUGAGUCAGAGAGGAAGUCCCCUAAGUCAGUCCAGGCCUCCCAAAGGGGUGAAUGGAGGGCAUCCUCCAAGACCGCACUAUUCUUUGGUCCCUAAGUGCCAGACACCAACUUCCCGAGGGCCUCGUCCACUCCGUCCUCAGGGAGCCCAGAGAGGCACCCCCACCCUCCUGGAGCUUGCGCUGCGGUGAGCCCGCGUCUGUCGGCAGAGACCUCCACGAAUGCCGUUAAGGAUUCUUGGGUACGGGCAGCCCGGGGGGCUCAGCGGUUUAGCGCUGCCUUCAGCCCAGGGUGUGCUCCUGGAGUCCCGGGAUCGAGUCCCACCUCGGGCUCCCUGCAUGGAGCCUGCUUCUCCCUCUGCCUGUGUCUCUGCCUCUCCCUCUCUCUCUCUCUGUGUAUUCUCAUGAAUAAAUAAAUAAAAUCUUAAAAAAAAAAAAAGGAUUCUCGGGUAGAAGCAGUGGGGAUUCGAAUCCAUCCUACGCGCAACGUGUAGCUCAGUCUCCUCAACAAAAACGUGCUAAUGGAGCCGAACCCAGAGGAACGCGUACUGCAUGGUUCUGUGCACACGGCACGACACGGUCGACACUAACCCCCGCGUGUGUGUGGCCUGUGCAGCUUCGCUGGGGAGUGUGUGUGGCGGGUGCACCUGCUGCGUACACUUUAAAGCUCCAUAAAACACUCACAAAGAUCCCCAGGUAGAGACGCAAAAACACGCGCUAUUAGUUGGUCGUCUGUAGGUUAACCAGCAUGACCUCCCUGCUCUCUUCCCUGGAGAAUCUAGAAAACUGGAUUUGAAUACUCCCAUUGCAACAGCCCAUUAACCGGCAGACGUGGGAGUUGGGGGCUCACGCGCUGUCCCCUAACCUGGGGAGGUCGUCCACUCCUAUGUCCUACGGUCCCGAGACAAUCGAGGGUUUUCAGACUUUAGCCCCUCCUGGAACUGUCCCCCUGGAGAAACAGGAGGCGGGCCUUGCCGCUGGGAGAGAG